rnacentral:lncRNA from 1 species
AGAAAGUUCUCAAAUCUGCCCAAGAUGACAUUCAAGGAUGGGAAAGGGAAUUCAAGUGAUGUGGGCUGAGCGUAGUGACUGAAAAACGAUAAAGGCCAUUUCAUUUUUACAGCCUCAAAAAACUGCUUUCACAUUGAAUGUGGAAUUAUGAAGUUAGAUCGAAGUUAUGGAGAUGAUCUUGUAAGGAAAGCAGAAAGAACGCUAACAGUUAUUGCACAGACGUUAAUAGCUGAAUGGGAACAUCUGAAAGUCCAUCUCCGAUUUUCUUUCAUCGACACUAACUCAGUUUGA